GAGAAGCUCGGGAGAAGAGAGGGAGAAGUGAGAGCCAUGCCCUAAGUUACUUUCAAUCCAUAAAACUUUCAAAUUGUGGUUCCAAUCAACAACUCGUUUGUGACUACGCGGGAAGUUUCAUCUCAAGUUAGAGCAAAAUUUUGACCCAAAGUUACGUGAAAUAAGGUGAGGGCAUGCCACGCUCUAUGCAGAAGACCAGGCCUAGCGUGCAACAAAGCAGGGAAGCAUGCCACGCUUGAGGAGAAGUCCAAGCUCUAGGAGUAACUAAAGCAGAGGCAUUACACGCCUUGAAGAGGGCGUGCCACGCCUUAGGGUCAGCCCAAGGAGCACAUGUCACGCUGCUAGUAGACGUGCCACGUCUAGCCCAAAGAAAACAAGCCUAGUGCAACUCUAGUGAUGUUCUCUUCAAAGCCCAACCUCAAAGAUGUGAUUAUGAAUUGAAGAUUAAAGAAGAUUAUGUAAUAAUUAGAUUUAAAUUUUAUUUAAUUUUGUUAUGAUUAUGUUUUUAGAAUUUGAAUUAGGAGCUAUCUUAAUUAUUUUGAUUAAGAUUAAAUUUAGUUUUUGAAUUUAAAUUGGAAGAAACCCUAGGAUAUAAAUAAGUGAACAUUGUUCACAAGGAAAGACAUCCAGGGGAGGAUCUUUGGAUCCCUCACAUGCCUCUUUUCUUCUUUUCUUUUGCUUGUUUUUCAAUUCAC